GCCUGGUGCCCAAAACCUCGCGCAGUUAGAGAGAUUUGUUUGGUUGCAAAUAAAAAUUGUUGGGGGAUUUAUGUGCUAUUGUAGCACUCUAAAUCACCAGCCAACCCUAAUCCGCCUCAUUUUCUUCUCUUUGACUCUCUUCUAUCCCUUUCUCUCUUUAGAAGAAAAGAGAUGCCAUUGUUCCCUUAUCUUGGAGCUUGGGGAUCUAUCUUCUUAAAAGCUUGGGCAAGGUUGGGAGCUUCAAAAGAAAGCUUUACGUAGGAGAAAAGGACCAUAUUCUCCUCCACGUUUUGCUUGCUAGAAGAGGAAAGAUUCUACCAUCGUCGGUGAGGCACGAGACUGUGACGAAAUAUCGCGAAGUAGCUAAAUUGUUGUGAGUCGGUCUAGUUAGAGUACCCCUUUUUGGUUAAAAACUUUGUAAUGCUUUGGAUAGAAAAAGUAUUAUAAAUUUUAAAGAGUUUAAACUUGUAAUGGUUCAAUUUACUAGUAGUACACUGUGAUGCUAUAUGUACCCAUGUCAUGUAUGAUUUGUACAAGCUGGUGUAUGUUCUGCUUUGUGCAGGUAGAAAAUAUCUUGCCCAUUUGGCGGGUCUCUUUUAUAUGCCGAAACGGGCCCAAUAAAUGGACUCAGGGUGUGACAAUUUUAUACUUUAUUUACAGAUGGCAAGAUAACAUGAGGGUGUGUUUGGUUUGAA